CCCACGGGUGGCUGCAGUGGGGAAUAUUGGACAAUGGGGGCAACCCUGAUCCAGCCAUGCCGCGUGUGUGAAGAAGGCCCUCGGGUUGUAAAGCACUUUCAGUGAGGAAGAACGCCUGGUGGUUAAUACCCAUCAGGAAAGACAUCACUCACAGAAGAAGCACCGGCUAACUCCGUGCCAGCAGCCGCGGUAAUACGGAGGGUGCGAGCGUUAAUCGGAAUUACUGGGCGUAAAGCGCGCGUAGGUGGCUUGAUAAGCCGGUUGUGAAAGCCCCGGGCUCAACCUGGGAACGGCAUCCGGAACUGUCAAGCUAGAGUGCAGGAGAGGAAGGUAGAAUUCCCGGUGUAGCGGUGAAAUGCGUAGAGAUCGGGAGGAAUACCAGUGGCGAAGGCGGCCUUCUGGACUGACACUGACACUGAGGUGCGAAAGCGUGGGUAGCAAACAGGAUUAGAUACCCUGGUAGUC
rnacentral:rRNA from 1 species